rnacentral:rRNA from 1 species
UACGUAGGGUGCGAGCGUUGUCCGGAAUUAUUGGGCGUAAAGAGCUCGUAGGCGGUGUGUCACGUCGGCCGUGAAAACCUGCAGCUUAACUGUGGGCGUGCGGUCGAUACGGGCAUCACUGGAGUUCGGCAGGGGAGACUGGAAUUCCUGGUGUAGCGGUGAAAUGCGCAGAUAUCAGGAGGAACACCGGUGGCGAAGGCGGGUCUCUGGGAAGUAACUGACGCUGAGAAGCGAAAGCGUGGGGAGCGAACAGG